AAUAAUAUUUCACAAUUUUACUGUUUUUCUGAUCAAAUAAAUGCAGCCUUGGUGAGCAGAAGAGACUUAUUUCAAAAAACCUAAUAUAGAGAUGCAUGAAACAAAAACAAUUCAAUAUGUACAUAGGCAAGAUGAAGCAAAUGAUAUUAUAACAUUUCAAAUUUAUUAAUAUUAUUUAUAAUUUAUUUAUUUUUAAAAACAAAAGCACUGGACCAUGACAUCACAUCCUGUUGCCCAUAUUCCUUCUAAAAUAUUUCUGUAAUAAUUUUGCAUGCUUAUUAUCUAGUGUACCCACUCUUUAAUCAGUUGAACAACAUAACUCAAUAUUUCACUCAACAACCCAGUCAAUAACACAAUCUUACACCAAUAAUAAUUCAGUACGCAAAUUAAAAAAAUAACAAAGAUCAACUGCUAUUCAGUUUGACAUCAACACAUUCAUUUUCAAUGGCGAACAAAGUCAAAAGAGCAAUUUCAAACUUCAAUCUUAAUUAUCUUAAAAAGUAUAAAUGUUACAAAACCCAAAAACAGAAGCACUCUCAAGACUGAAAAGAUCUAGAAAAUAAAGUAUAAAUGGUAUGAAUUAAUGGCAGUUUAAUACCGAGGAAAAAGAGGUUAAAAUAAAUACACACCAGAAUGUUUGCUGAGCACAAACACUGUGGAUAUCCACUGUCUUCCAUGUUGGAGAUUCACUGGAGCUUUUUUAUUUUUUUUUAUUUUAUUGUCCCAGCACUGUUAGCCCAUAGCUUCAGGAGUGGAGACAAAGACCCUCAGAUGCAGACAAAGCGGAAAAAGGUCAGCCGAUGCCCUUGAGGCGUCACUGAAGAGGAAAGUGCUUGUUCUGGGGGUCUCUUGGCCCUAAUGCACAGCAUUGAGUUUCAGCUCUACUUGCUCCGUGAUGCGGCAGUGGAGGUGCAGAACGGAGGGCCGAGCUGUUAGCGGAGCUUCAAGACCAGGCCCAAGGCACAGAUUCAACCUAAGCAAACCCUGACCUCCGUGUGACCCAUCUGUAGGAGUCAAUGAGUCAAUAUUUCAUCCGUUCGAGGGGCGGCCACACUAGACACUAUAGCUUUCAUUCAUACUCGUGUGAGAAUUGGCGUAGGACCUUCAUCUUCCUCUCUCUACCAAAGUUCAAAUUGGGUGGGUUUGAAAAAUAGACAUUAACCAAUUAGGGACAACAAUUCCACUGUUUCUCUUCUUGGCUGAACAUUAAAUGCUCAUUUUCACAUCAGUACAUGCUUACAAGUAUCUGAACUUGAACUCAAAGAGAUAGUUAGCUUGACAAAAGUUGAAGGUCAUUACAGGCAGACUAGGUUUGCUCUGGUGUUGCUAGGGUAUUUUAGGUGGUUUCCAUAGCAUUCUGGGUGGUUAUAAUGUUCCUAGUGGUGCUAGGACGUAUCUAGGCAGUUGCUAUGAUGUUCUUAGUGAUUGCUACAUUGUAGCAAGUGGUUUCUGAGCCUUUGCUAGGAUGCUCUUGGUGUUUGUUUGUGUUUAAGGUGGUUGCUAGGGCAUUUCUAUGCCGUUGCUAGGAUGCUCUUGGUCUUUGCUACAGUAGAUUGUUGUAGUUAGUUGCUAUGGUGUUUCUAUGCAGUUGCUAACUUGCCACAGUGUUUUGGAUGGUUACUAAGAUGUUCAAAGUGGUUUCUAGGCUGUUUCUAUGAUGCUCUUGGUGUUUGUUAGUAUUUUAGGUAGUUGCCAAGGCGUUUCUAUGCAGUUGCUAGGAUGCUCUUGUGUCUUGGUCUUUGCUAUAGUAGAUUGUUGUAGGUAGUUGCUAGGGCAUUUCUAUGUAGUUGCUAGUAUGCUCUUGGUCUUUGCUACAGUAGAUUGUUGUAGGUAGUUGCUAGGGUGCAUCUAUGCAAUUGCUUUGGUGUUCUAGGUGGUUGUUACAAUGUUCAAAGUGAUUUCUAGGCUGUUUUAGGGUGUUCUGG
ensembl:lncRNA